UACGAAGGGGGCUAGCGUUGUUCGGAAUUACUGGGCGUAAAGGGCGCGUAGGCGGCGUGUCAAGUCAGGCGUGAAAGCCCCGGGCUCAACCUGGGAACCGCGCUUGAGACUGGCAUGCUCGAGUUCGGGAGAGGAUGGUGGAAUUCCCAGUGUAGAGGUGAAAUUCGUAGAUAUUGGGAAGAACACCGAUGGCGAAGGCAGCCAUCUGGACCGACACUGACGCUGAGGCGCUAAAGCGUGGGGAGCAAACAGG
rnacentral:rRNA from 1 species